ensembl:snRNA U6 U6 spliceosomal RNA
CUGCUCGCUUCUGCAUCACAUACACUAAGAUUGGAAUGAUACAGAAAAGAUUAGCAUGGCCCCUGUACAAGGAUGACAUGCAAAUUUGUGAAGCAUUCCAUUUAAAA